rnacentral:tRNA from 1 species
GGGGCUGUAGCUCAACUGGUAGAGCGCCAAGAAACGGAUCCGUCCGUAGUGGUGGAAGCUUCUCGCCGCGCGCCGUGAGCUGGCCAAGCCGCUGCCGGGCUCCGCGCUUUGCCCAGAGACCCUGGGCCGAGUCUGAGAGAUGCGGGUUCGAAUCCCGCCAGCUCCA